rnacentral:lncRNA from 1 species
UGCUCAGUGCGCAUGCGCGGCCCCGCCCCUGCGGUCCCAGCGUGGCGCAGAAGCUGCUGCGGGGCCAGGAGGAAAUAAUCCCCCGGUAAUGACUUAGGAAAGAGCACUGCGCAAAUACUAUGCAGCAUGCGUCACAGAUAAAGGGUUGAAAGUCCCACUGUGUGAAUGAUUCUGAAAGGUUGAGGGAACCAAACGUGAAAGAUCCAAUUUAAAGAAAGGCAGAAGAUGUGAUCGGCACAAAAAUGACAUAAUACUGGGCCUAAAACGAAUGGACAGAUGGGGCUGGGGAUUUAGCUCAGUGGUGCCGCCGCCUGUCUGACAAGAGCAAGGUCCUGAGUUCAGUCCCCAGUACCCAAAUAAAAACAAAUGCAACGAAUGGACAGAUGUUCGGUUUCGGUCCUUCCCGAUAGGAAAGGAAUUGCACAGUAUUCUCAGACGCUGCUUUUGACAUACCCUGCCUGUGUCUCCCCUACCCCAUUUCCCGCAGUGCGGAGAACUUACCCUGAUGAAACGUUACCCCCGUAGGGACACGUAUGUGUGUCCGUCCAAGGUCGCAGGUUGCAGUUUGUGUGGUUGCAUGGCAGCGUUUGGAUUGGCUGAGCACCUUCCUGCUCUGCGUGUUCACGCCAGGCUGCCCUGGGCGGUUGUGAAACAGCAAAUAGAACUGGAAGGAAGGUGAACUUCACUCAGCUGGCGGUGAUCAGCAUGGCGAGUCUGAAAGUCUUCCUGCAAAGGACCAUGACGCUGAUGAUGCCCAAAGCAGGCUGUGAAGAACAAACCCCACAACUGGUUGUUUAUAGAAGUGAGUCAGGCCGAGACAUACAUGCCAAGGUCAGAGUAACUCACACCCAAAUUCUGCUC